rnacentral:rRNA from 1 species
GAUUAACGCUGGCGGCGUGCCUAACACAUGCAAGUCGAGCGGCAGCGAGUUUUACACUGACUUCUGGAAGCUUCUAGUUGAAAGAGAAGAUUUAUUCAAGAAUUUUGUGUAAAAUGUCGGCGAGCGGCGGACGGCUGAGUAACGCGUGGGAACGUACCCCAAAGUGAGGGAUAACGCAUCGAAAGGUGUGCUAAUACCGCAUAUGGUCUUCGGAUUAAAGCCUUCGGGCGCUUUGGGAACGGCCUGCGUAAGAUUAGAUAGUUGGUGGGGUAAUGGCCUACCAAGUCGACGAUCUUUAACUGGUUUGAGAGGAUGAUCAGUCAGACUGGAACUGAGACACGGUCCAGACUCCUACGGGAGGCAGCAGUGCGGAAUCUUCCACAAUGGGCGAAAGCCUGAUGGAGCAACGCCGCGUGCAGGAUGAAGGCCUUCGGGUUGUAAACUGCUUUUAUAAGUGAGGAUUAUGACAGUAACUUAUGAAUAAGGAUCGGCUAACUACGUG